rnacentral:rRNA from 1 species
UUCCGGUUGAUCCCGCCGGAGGUUACUGCUAUCGGUGUUCGCCUAAGCCAUGCGAGUCAUAUGUAGCAAUACAUGGCGUACUGCUCAGUAACACGUGGAUAACCUGCCCUUGGGACCGGCAUAACCCCGGGAAACUGGGGAUAAUUCCGGAUAACGCAUAUGUGCCGGAAUGCUUUAUGCGUAAAAUGGAUUCGUCUGCCCAAGGAUGGGUCUGCGGCCUAUCAGGUAGUAGUGGGUGUAAUGUACCUACUAGCCAGCGACGGGUACGGGUUGUGAGAGCAAGAGCCCGGAGAUGGAUUCUGAGACAUGAAUCCAGGCCCUACGGGGCGCAGCAGGCGCGAAAACUUUACAAUGCGGGAAACCGUGAUAAGGGGACACCGAGUGCCAGCAUCAUAUGCUGGCUGUCCAGGUGUGUAAAAUACACCUGUUAGCAAGGGCCGGGCAAGACCGGUGCCAGCCGCCGCGGUAACACCGGCGGCCCGAGUGGUGAUCGUGAUUAUUGGGUCUAAAGGGUCCGUAGCCGGUUUGGUCAGUCCUCCGGGAAAUCUGAUAGCUUAACUAUUAGGCUUUCGGGGGAUACUGCCAGACUUGGAACCGGGAGAGGUAAGAGGUAC